GACGAACGCUGGCGGCGUGCUUAACACAUGCAAGACGAACGGAAAGGCCCUGCUUUUGUGGGGUGCUCGAGUGGCGAACGGGUGAGUAACACGUGAGUAACCUGCCCUUGACUUUGGGAUAACUUCAGGAAACUGGGGCUAAUACCGGAUAGGAGCUCCUGCUGCAAGGUGGGGGUUGGAAAGUUUCGGCGGUUGGGGAUGGACUCGCGGCUUAUCAGCUUGUUGGUGGGGUAGUGGCUUACCAAGGCUUUGACGGGUAGCCGGCCUGAGAGGGUGACCGGCCACAUUGGGACUGAGAUACGGCCCAGACUCCUACGGGAGGCAGCAGUGGGGAAUAUUGCACAAUGGGCGGAAGCCUGAUGCAGCAACGCCGCGUGCGGGAUGACGGCCUUCGGGUUGUAAACCGCUUUCGCCUGUGACGAAGCGUGAGUGACGGUAAUGGGUAAAGAAGCACCGGCUAACUACGUG
rnacentral:rRNA from 1 species